GAUGAACGCUGGCGGCGUGCUUAACACAUGCAAGUCGAACGAAGCAUCCAUGAUUGAGACUUCGGUGGAUUGAUUGGAUGACUGAGUGGCGGACGGGUGAGUAACGCGUGGGCAACCUGCCUCGUACAGGGGGACAACAGUUGGAAACGACUGCUAAUACCGCAUAAGCCCACAGCUCCGCAUGGAGCAGAGGGAAAAGGAGCAAUCCGCUUUGAGAUGGCCUCGCGUCCGAUUAGCUGGUUGGUGAGGUAACGGCCCACCAAGGCAACGAUCGGUAGCCGGACUGAGAGGUUGAUCGGCCACAUUGGGACUGAGACACGGCCCAG
rnacentral:rRNA from 1 species